UGGGGAAUAUUGGACAAUGGGCGAAAGCCUGAUCCAGCCAUGCCGCGUGUGUGAAGAAGGUCUUCGGAUUGUAAAGCACUUUAAGUUGGGAGGAAGGGCAGUAAGCGAAUACCUUGCUGUUUUGACGUUACCGACAGAAUAAGCACCGGCUAACUCUGUGCCAGCAGCCGCGGUAAUACAGAGGGUGCAAGCGUUAAUCGGAAUUACUGGGCGUAAAGCGCGCGUAGGUGGUUCGUUAAGUUGAAUGUGAAAGCCCCGGGCUCAACCUGGGAACUGCAUCCAAAACUGGCGAGCUAAAGUAGGGCAGAGGGUGGUGGAAUUUCCUGUGUAGCGGUGAAAUGCGUAGAUAUAGGAAGGAACACCAGUGGCGAAGGCGACCACCUGGGCUCAUACUGACACUGAGGUGCGAAAGCGUGGGGAGCAAACAGG
rnacentral:rRNA from 1 species